ACACUGAUCACCUGGAGAUCUUGUUAAAAAUGCAGAUUCUGGUCCAGGAGGUCGGGGGUGGGGCCCGAGAGUCUGCAUUUCUAAUGAGCUCUCAGGUGACAGUGCU
rnacentral:pre_miRNA from 1 species